rnacentral:rRNA from 1 species
GACGAACGCUGGCGGCGUGCUUAACACAUGCAAGUCGAACGGAAAGGCCCCUUUGGUGGUACUCGAGCGGCGACCGGGUGAGUAACACGUGCGUAACCUGCCCUUGCCUUCGGGAUUGGUUUAGGUAACUGAGGCUAAUACCGGAUAGGAAUACUUGCUGCAUGGUGGGGGUUGGAAAGCUACGGCGGUUUUGGCUGUACUCGCGGCUUAUCUGCCUGUUGGUGGGGUAGUGGCGUACCAAGGCUUCGACGGGGAGCCGGCCUGGGGGGGCGACCUGCCAGACUAGGACCGUGCGGCGGGCAGCAGUCCGAAGGGAGGCGGCAGGGGGGAAUGUUGGACGAAGGGCGGAAGCCUGAGGCAGCAACGCCGCGGGCGGGAAGACGGCCUUCGGGUGGUAAGCCGCUUUCAGCAGGGGCGAAGCUUGGGGUGACGGUACCUGCAGAAGAAGCACCGGCUAACUACGUG